rnacentral:lncRNA from 1 species
AACAAGGGCAAGAAGGAAGUGGGCCCCUUCUCUCUUCCUCCAGAGUCACCAUGUGAGCCCAGGAAGACAGGACACUUGUCGCUGGGGUCCAAUAAGGGAAGAGUUUGCCAUACUUGAGGCGGCAUGACCCACAUUGCAGGCAGUCCUACCCAGCUGGAUUGGCAUAGCUGUGAGGAGGUCCUGGCCACUGACAGUAGCAGAAGCUUAGGCUUCCUUUUCCAUUUAUGCCACCCUCAUUCCACAGAAGGGCACUGAGUGGAAGAUGGUUGAAACUGUCUUGUGCUGCUGAUCAGAAGAUAAAGAGAAGGAGCCAACACUGUUCUCUCAUGCAGCUGACGACUUUGAGGAGCAGAGAUGCAGACAGAGCUGAGCGGAACACAGGGCUGUGGAUGAAGCUAUUUCCUGGACCUCCCUCCUCUGUUCUUCUCUGCCAGGCUGAGUCGCUAGAUCCCACUUUGUGUGAGCAGACUCAAGUUGUAUUCAUCUGGAGAUUGUGUUAUUUUGAGGAGUGUCCCAUUAUGAAGCCCAGCUCCAGUACUUACCUCUCAGGCUUGCAGAUGUUGAGACUGCCGAUAUGCAUAACCAUGUCUGGCUCAUAACCACAUCCACCCUUCACCUGGACUCCCUUUCCACCUCAGGAAAACAGGAAUCUGGAGUUCAAGGAUCACCUGCAAGGAAAUGACACAAAGGGCACACCUCUUGGUAUGUUAAUGCCAUUGUUAAAGCUGUUUUGAAAAAGAAGAAAUCCACCCUUUGCUCUGUAUUUCGUGUCUGAGCCAUGAGAAGAGACAGCAACCCACAAUUCAAUAUAAGAAUAGCAGUUAAAAGAAAAGGACAGGGAACUGAUACACAGGUCUCAUGAUGGUUUCCACAAUUUAGAAUACUCUGGAAUUAGGAGUUCUAGUGUGCUUUCUAGUCCAUUGUUCUUACACUAAAAAUAAAUCAAUGGUUGUGAGUGUGUAUUUUAUUGUUAUCAGGCUGGUUUGCCCUAAAAUGAGAUGCUUGCUCUUCUUAUAUUUGAUUCAGACCUUACUAAAAUUACAAAGUUUGGCCAGGCACUCUGAAAACAGAGGCAGGCAUAUCUCAGAGCACAAAGUCAGUCUGGUCCACAGAGUGAGUUCCAGGACAGCCAGGGCUAUGAAGAGAGUUUGUUUCUCAAAAUAAACAAAUAAAAAAAUGACAAAGUCUUCCCAAAGGAAUAAAUGAACAUCAAAUCCUAAAAAAAACUAACCAACCAAACAAACAAAAAACUAUAUCAAAAUGUUAACUGUAAGAGGAAAGGGUUAACUAAAGCCUGGAUUCUGUCGACAUAAUUAAAGGUAAUGCAUUUCAAAAUGUCCAUAAAAUGGGAACACAUCAGUUCAAUUCUUAUCAGUAAUUUUUACACAUAUGCACUUCUGAGUUUUCAACUGACCUAUAUUAAUUUAUGGAGCUAAUAAGAAAUUGGAUUUUCAGAAAUUAAUAUACUUUCCUUCCAUGAAGCACCAACUCGUACAAAGAUUCACAACAUGGGUUUUCCCCAUUAUUUGCACUUGUUCCUGUGUCAGGGAAGACUCUCAACUUCUGGCCACUGUUAUCAUCGAUACUGUUGGCUUCCACAUCACCCCUGAACAUUGAGAUAAUUUUGCAAAUACUGUUUAUCCUCUUUAUUUUUUUUAAAUUUGCUUUUGGGAUAGAACCUUGCUACAUAGUUCUGCCCAGUCUGAACUAUGUAUGCAUGUACUUCUGCCUGGCUUCAAACUCACUAUAAUCCUCUUUUCUCUAUCUACAAAAUACGAAGAUGUCAGGUAUAAGCAAGGACUCCCAGAUACCUAAGCUCUUCAAUGCUAACACUCUCCCUCUACUAAACCUCUUAACACCCCUCUCCUUGUACUCAGCUAUCCAGUGGCCUUUGUGCUCCUGUUACUCUCUAGCUCUAAAGCUUGUACAUGCUUUUCCCUCUUCUACCCUACACACCUUGAACAUCUUAGAUACACAAAAACCUUACAUGUCUACCCAUGACUUCGUGUCCAAUAUGACAAAUAGAUGCUUGCUCAGCUUGAGUUGGCUAACACUCCUCAUCAAACAUCAUUUUAUCAAGUGUCUCCCACAAUGCAAUUAAAAGAAAGAAUUUUCAGAGACAAGCUUUCUUUUGAUUUGCUCUACUUAGCACAUGAUGGUAAAGAGGCCGUCAAAUACUUAAUAUUUAGUAUUUGCUAUUGAGUUUGCAAUGUAAUGCUUUAAUGGACAGUGAAACCAUGCAGUCAGAUUUCUUUUAAAAAAUUCAGAAAACUUUCUUAAAAGAACUUGAAUAGAAUUCUUAAAGAGAGUAGUAUAUGUUGUUUGAAUAAAGAGAAAAUGUAUAGUUUUGUGUGUUUAUGAUUCCUUUGCUUGGUGAGCACAGGAAAGAGGUAUCACCUCAUAUCACUAUAACAAAAGUUUUUAUCAACUAAAUGUAGAGGCAGAGCCACAUUCUAAAUGCAGAGAAGUGACAAUGGUCAUGAUGGUGAAAAGUCAGAUUAUGUAGGCUUCUGGUCCAGUUCUGCCACAAUUGAGCUGAAGAUCUAAGUAUUGUAUUUAACCUCCCUGUGCUGAAAUGCCCUGAUCUGUAUGGAUAAUAUCUGUACUGUGAUCUGUACAAAUAAUAUUUUUGUUGUUAUGAAUAGUGUAAGCAGCAAAAUUGUAAAGGUCUUCAAAAACCAUGUAGCCUAUGUAUGUGAUAAAUAAAAUUUCAUAUUGUCUGAGUUACACCAAAAUUUUGA